UACGAAGGGGGCUAGCGUUGCUCGGAUUGACUGGGCGUAAAGGGCGCGUAGGCGGUUCGUACAGUCAGACGUGAAAUUCCUGGGCUCAACCUGGGGGCUGCGUUUGAUACGUGCGGACUUGAGUGCGGAAGAGGGUCGUGGAAUUCCCAGUGUAGAGGUGAAAUUCGUAGAUAUUGGGAGGAACACCAGUGGCGAAGGCGGCCCACUGGCCCGAUACUGACGCUGAGGCACGAAAGCGUGGGGAGCAAACAGG
rnacentral:rRNA from 1 species